AUGGAUGACAUCAAGCUGUACGCCAAGAGUGAGCGAGACAUUGACUCGCUGAUCCACACCACCAGGAUCUACAGCUCGGACAUCGGGAUGUCAUUCGGACUCGAGAAAUGUGGGAGGAUGGUGACAAAGAGAGGCAAGGUAAUCCACACAGAAGGGGUCUCACUCCCAGAAGGAACAAUAGCAGACAUUGAGGACAAUUACAAGUACCUUGGAAUACCACAGGCAAACGGCAACCUUGAACAGGCAACAAGGAAUGCGGCAACAGCCAAAUACCUCCAACGAGUAAGGCAAGUCCUAAGAAGCCAGCUCAAUGGCAAGAACAAAUCCCGGGCAAUAAACAGCGACGCUCUGCCAGUGAUCAGAUACCCUGCAGGAAUAAUAAGGUGGCCAAAGGAAGAGAUACAGACCACAGAUGUUAAGACACGAAAGCUCCUCACCAUGCACGGAGGGUUCCACCCCAAAUCCAGCACCCUGAGACUGUACGCUAGCCGCAAGGAAGGAGGCAGAGGACUAGUGAGCGUGAGAGCCACUAUCCAGGAUGAAACAUCCAAGAUCCAUAAGUACAUCAAGGAUAAGGCCCCGACAGAUGACGUGCUGAGUGAAUGUCUCAGGCAGUGGAGAACAGAGGAUGAGAUGCUGGAAGAGGGACCAUCAUGGGAGGACAAGCCCUUGCACGGGAUGUACCACCGGAACAUAACUGAAGUGGCUGAUCUCAACAAAUCCUACCAAUGGCUUGAAAGGGCUGGGCUGAAGGACAGCACAGAGGCACUCAUCCUGGCUGCACAGGAGCAGGCCCUGAGCACCAGAGCCAUAGAGGCCCAGAUCUACCACACCAGACAAGACCCAAGGUGUAGACUGUGCAAAGAGGCCCCAGAGACGGUCCAGCACAUAACUGCAGGGUGUAAGAUGCUGGCAGGCAAAGCAUACAUGGAACGCCAUAACCAAGUGGCUGGCAUAGUAUACAGGAACAUCUGCGCGGAGUAUGGACUGGAAACCCCAAGGUCAAAGUGGGAAACACCUCCCAAGGUGGUAGAGAACGAGCGAGCCAAGAUCCUGUGGGACUUCCAGAUCCAGACUGACAGAAUGGUAAUGGCGAACCAACCAGACAUUGUGGUGGUGGAUAAAGAGCAGAGGAAAGCCGUAGUGGUGGAUGUGGCAAUACCAAGCGAUGGCAACAUCAGGAAAAAGGAACAUGAGAAACUAGAGAAAUACCAAGGGCUCAGAGAAGAACUGGAGAAGGCUUGGAAGGUGAAGGCCACAGUGGUGCCUGUGGUGAUCGGAGCACUAGGGGCUGUGACCCCCAAACUGGAGGAGUGGCUACGACAGAUCCCUGGAAAAACAUCCGAAAUCUCAGUCCAGAAAGGUGCAGUCCUAGGAACAGCAAAGAUACUGCGCAGAACCCUCAAGCUCCCUGGCCUCUGGUAG
rnacentral:lncRNA from 1 species